GCGGGGAUAGCUCAGUUGGGAGAGCGUCAGACUGAAGUUUCACUUGAGUCAUUAAAUCUGAAGGUCGUGUGUUCGAUCCACACUCACCGCA
rnacentral:tRNA from 2 species